UUGCUAUCUGCGAUAUGGAAGAUUCGAACCUGCCGCAGGUUCGGGUCUCUUGCAGUGAGACAACGGAGCCGUUUACGGCGACGGCCCGAAGGGCGAGCGAAGCGAGUCAUCCUGCACGACCCACCA
rnacentral:sRNA from 1 species